rnacentral:tRNA from 1 species
CCUUCGAUAGCUCAGUUGGUAGAGCGGUGGACUGUAGAAAAUUUGCUAAAGAUAUUGUGGACAUCCAUAGGUCGCUGGUUCAAAUCCGGCUCGAAGGA